AUGGGUCAGGAGCUGGGUCUGCCAAGAGAAGCUAUUCAUGCCAAGAGCCAAGCCUCCAGUCUGCUUCUCCCAGAAGCACCACUGCCUUUUAAUUUAACGGUUCUCUGGUGUGCGAGAACCGUUUGGGGCAAAUUUGGCUCCAACCUCAGCACACUGCUUCAGACAGGAGUUGCACGGGGCCAGAGGCUUUUGGCUUCCUGCACUGCUGUUUCCUUUGUUGCUAACUGAUAAAAGGCAGUCUUAGGAGAAGGAAAUAAUAAUUCUGUCUUUAGUCCAGUACCUGGCACACAGUGGACUCCACAGAUAUUUGUGCAAUAAACAGCGGGUAGAGAAACACACGAGUCUCUUACAGCAAGUGUUUAUGUGUUAUCUGAGGAACUUCUGAUAGUCCAGGAGGAUGCUGGGCAGAAGGGAGAGGUUGUGGUAAAGAGACAUUUUCUGCUGCUAUCCAGUAUAUCAACCCCUGCAGUAACUUUGUUUCAUUCACUGCUACAAUGCUCUUUUUAAGGAGGGUAUUGUCACAGGGGUGGACUCUGGUCACAGAGGUAACACAGAGACUGUAGUGCAUCCUACCUGCUUGCCGAGGCCCAGCGUUUACUAUCUUAUUGGGCAUUGUCUCAGGUUACUUCCAUUUGAGUUCUAGAGCGCUUCCCCAUCCACUUCCCAAGUCUGUUAAAAGACUAACUGUACUUUCAAAGGAGACAUGGUCAACAAAGAUGUCUUCACAGCCUCUGAGUUCUCAGCUUUCAUAGCAAUUAAAAAUCUAGAAGAAAAAUCCUUCACACAAUUGGUUUCAGACCAGAGAGAGCAGAGAUAAAAACAGAAAGAAGGAGAAAAAGAAAGGCACCGUGGAAAAGGUCUUCUACCACCUGAACUGAAACCUCUGAGUGGGAACUUGAGCCUCAGCCAUUCAGGCUCUUCAUGUGGACCUAGACAUGUCACCUGCUGGCUUCAAGAGGUGAGCUAAUAAUCAAGAUGAGCCAUUACUGUCAGCAUUCCUGAUCGUACAAAACUGUGGAGAAUGGUUAAUAAAGGAAAGAAAACUCUGGAUACCAGAGCAACAUAUGUGCAUCCAAACUAGAGCAAGAGGAAAUGAUUUGUGUAGCAGUCAAAGGAGGGAUCAGUGGAAGAUGAUGAAACAGACUAUAAAACAAAACAAAAUGGACCAUCUCCACCAGGAUAAAGAUGCAAUCAAGUGCUUUCUUUCAUCUGCCUGCUUUUCAGCCAGAGUGCCAGAGCAGCUGAACAUGCAGAGAACACAGAUCCUCAGACGUGGAGCUGGCUUCAUCAGCAAGCCUUCCUUCUGAGUAUACAGGGCCCAAGCUAAGGAAAGCUUCAUUGCCUCAAAGUUGUUAAUACUUUAGGAAAAAAGGAUGCGAAUUUUGCUUUUAUAUUUAUUCUACCAAAUUAUCUAGCCACUCUUCCUUGAGACCUUCGAAUCCCACCUUCACUGAAGGGCUCUCAUGCCAAUGAACACAAUCCCAGCAGACUUUGGAAUGCUGUGUUAGCAGAUAUCUCCUUUUCUUUUAUUUCAGUUAGCUCCAAAAUUAUGCAUAAUACAUGCUGCAUAUGAAUCUCUCGUAUGCAGGAAUGAAAGCGAUAUAGUAAAAAAGGACCUUGAUAUUUUUUCUUAAGUAGGAAAAAUAACAGCACCAUGGCCAAAAUCCAUAUGUUGAACACAAUAAUACUUUGGAGUGAUUUCCUUAGGGGAGAGUUUCAGAUUUCUGCUCAUGUGUAACUGUGAGUAGCAUCUGGAAUUCUCUGUUUUCUGAAAACACCCAGGUCUUUUUAAUGUGGAAAUGAGGUUGAGAAGCAGGGAAUUAUAAAGCUGCAGGAGGAAGUGGAUACUCCUGGCAAGUGUUACAUAGUGUCUUCAGCAAUCCUCUGAAUAGGUCUAUGUGAUUAACUCUGUAUUUCUUUGGUAGCUAGGGCUUUGAUAGAGUCAGUGCUCUAUCAAAUUUUAUUGAUAGAUGAGAGAUAAAAUAUGAUGUUAAUUUCUUCCUUAAAGGACAUUGAACAUACAAUCUGCCCCCAAAGGUUUUGGCUCUUUCAAAAAAGUUUGCCAAACACGGAACAAUUAUAAAGUGGAUUUUUAAAAGUCCUGUUUAUAAUAGCACUAAAUAAAUUUUACAAAAACUUCUAAGAAACUGUAUUAGAAAUGCUAGUUUUAAAAGGUUUGUCUUAUUUUUAUUUUAUGAGUGUGUGUGUGUGUGUGUGUGUGUGUGUGUGUGUGUGUGUUUGUGAAAGUACAUGUAAGAGCUAGAAGGCUGUCGACUGCCCUGGAGCUGGAGUUUCAGGCACUUGUGAGCCCCUGGACAUGGAUGUUGGAAAUGGAAUUUGUGUCCUCUGAAAGAGCAAGAAGCACUCUUAACCAGUGAGCCAUCUAUUCAAUCCCUGAAAACUGUAUUCAUGGGAAAUAUCUGUAUCUUCUGAGAGGGUCAAAAUAAAUAAAUCCACACAGUAUUCAUAUAUUUAAAGACGUCAUGAUGACAAUGGUCAACUCUCUCCAAAUUGGCCUUCAAUCUGCUCCCAGUUGAAAUCCAUACAGGCAUUUGCACAGAUUCACAAAGUGAUUCUACAUGCAACUAGUGUGGUCAAAGCACUACUAAAAAAAAUACUGAGGAAGAACAAAAGGCUGAAAGAGCUGCAUUUCCUAAUAUAAAGAUGUAUUAGAAGACUUUGCUGGUUAUAAGAGUGUAAUGAUGUCAAUAGGUUGGCUGAAUACAGUGAGAAAAGAGGAUAGUGCUCACAAAGAGGGCCAUGCUUGUACAUAUGACUAGAUGGGAAAGGACACAUUCCACAGAUAGAUUUAGAUUCACUGUGUACCAGAUAUGGAUACCUUCCAGACUUCAAAUUUAAAAACAAAACAAAACUUGAAAUGGACUGAAAUUAUCAUAAAACUAGCCAUGAAAGCUAAAACCCUUUCUAGAAGCUUCACAAUAUUGGGUUAGAAAAAAUUAUUUUCGAAAAUGUAAGUUAACCCCUGCCUCCACCCUAACCCAUCUCCCCGAAAGUAACAGCCUAAACAGGAAGCCAUGGAAGAGAACACUUAAAAAGUGUGAUAAGGAUGCUGAGGUUAGUUCUUCACUGUGGAUGGCUAGUGGUGGGGUGUGUGAGGGGACUGGAUUGGUUCUCUCUAUGGGGCACACCACUGAGAGCUUGAGUAUGCUCCAGCCAGUAUAGAGAACACAAAUUGGGCUUGUUUAUUUAUUUUUUAUUUUAUUUUAUUUUUAUCUUUUGAGGGGGUUCAAAAGGGUGGAGGGAGGAUAUGAAAGGCCUGGGAAAUGAGUGUGAUCAGGAUGCAUGAUGUGAAAUUCCCAAAGAAUCAAUAAAUGUAUUAUGUUGGAAAAAAGGAAAAAAGGAAGCUAAGAAAAUACUCACCAUGACAGAAAACCAUGAGCAAUUAGCUUAAUGAAAUAUGUUCUCAAUUGUUCUUCAGAAGAAAAAAAAAGAUAAGCCAAAGAUUGUGAAAAAAAAUUGUGUAUGAAGAAUGGUCAGAGGGUUGCUAUGCUGUGGAGAUUUGAAUGAGAAUCUUUCAUAGGCUUUCAUAGGCUCUGAUGAUGGAAAUUUGGCCCCUAGUAGAUGGUACUGUGUGGGGGAUGUUAUGGAACUUUUUGCACCUCAUUGUACAAAGUUCAUCACAGGGGUGGGCUGUGAAAGUUACAUAUCCUGCCUCCCCUUCCACUUUGUCCUCUGCUUCUUACUCACGGAUGGAAAUCUUGUAAUCAUCUGCGGAUAUUCUGCCCCUGCCAUUGUGGACUAUCCUCUCAGAACUAUAAGUCAAAAUAUACUCUUUCAUCUCUAAGAUGCUUUGGCUAUAUCCUUUUAUUGCAACCACAGAAGAGUGACUGUGAAGCAGUAAGCAACGCCCUCCAUAACCUCUGCAUCAGGUCCUGGCUCCAGUAUCCUGCCCUGUGUAAGUUCCUGUCCUGACUUUCUCAACAGUGCUAUGGAAUCAUACUCUGAACAAACCCUUUCUUCCCCAAGUCUCUUUGGUCAUGGUGUUUCAUCACAGUAACAGUAAGCAUAACUAUGGCAGUGUGUUUUAGGUACACUUACAUGUUUUAAGUUUGUGGUGAUUGUCAAAAUAGUGAUUUAAAACUAGCACAUAUCCUUAGGUUUUACCAAGAAAACA